rnacentral:rRNA from 1 species
CAGCCGUAAACUAUGCGCGUUAGGUGUAUCGGUGACCACGAGUUACCGAGGUGCCGAGGGAAACCGUGAAACGUGCCGCCUGGGAAGUACGGUCGCAAGGCUGAAACUUAAAGGAAUUGGCGGGGGAGCACCGCAACGGGAGGAGCGUGCGGUUUAAUUGGAUUCAACACCGGGAAGCUCACCGGAUAAGACAGCGGAAUGAUUGCCGGGCUGAAGACUCUGCAUGACUAGCUGAGAGGAGGUGCAUGGCGUAGACGUCU